CGUGCAGGCGGCCCGGUAAGUGGAAGGUGAAAUGCCCUGGCUCAACCAGGGAACUGCCUUCCAGACUGCCGGGCUUGAGUACAGGAGAGGAUGGGGGAAUUCCCGGUGUAGCGGUGGAAUGCAUUGAUAUCGGGAGGAACACCAGUGGCGAAGGCGCCCAUCUGGCCUGAUACUGACGCUCAGGCGCGAAAGCUAGGGAGCAAACA
rnacentral:rRNA from 1 species